rnacentral:rRNA from 1 species
CAACUUCAGCAACGGUCUCUUGGCCUCGCAUCGA